UACGUAGGGACCGAGCGUUGUCCGGAAUCAUUGGGCGUAAAGAGCGUGUAGGCGGCUAUUUAAGUCCUGCGUGAAAUCCUGCGGCUCAACCGCAGACGGUCGUGGGAAACUGGAUGGCUAGAGUGCGGGAGGGGAGAGUGGAAUUCCCGGUGUAGCGGUGAAAUGCGCAGAUAUCGGGAAGAACACCCGUGGCGAAGGCGGCUCUCUGGAACGCAACUGACGCUGAGACGCGAAAGCGUGGGGAGCAAACAGG
rnacentral:rRNA from 1 species